CAGCGCGGACGUGGGUCGGCGGCCGCGGAGACAGGCUCCCGGGGGUCGUGCGCGGGCUGCGGUCGGGGACUCCGGGUCCAGCCGCGUUCCGAGACGAGUGAGGGCAGCGAGUACUCCCGUGAAGGGUCCCCUCCGAUCCAGUGUCCCCACUCCCAGCCGCCCACCAGCCGGCUGGAAAGGGGCUGGAGCUGGAGAUGAGGAGCCGAGGACUCCUCCGAAGGGCUGGGGGCGGUGUCAGUAGUGCCUGUGUCUGCCGGCACAGUCCCUGGCGCAGAGCGCACCUUCACUAACCGGCUUUUUUGUCCUCCUUGGAACCCCUGCCCUGGAUGGGCUCUCCACUAGGGCUUCUGGUUGGCCUCGCUCCCUUCACCUAGCCCCUGGUGAAGGGAGCUCAGCGGGGACUCCUGCAAGAAGAGGGCUGGCCGCCCCCUUCCCCAUCCUCCCCAGCCUUGGGUGGCCCUGGCACCACGGCUCAGGGAGUCCCUGGCCCAGGUAGGAAGAAAAGGCCAAGAGAAGAAUGAGCGAAGUCUCCCUGCUGGAGCCAGGGAAGGCUGGAGCCUGCCCCCUCUGGCCAGCAGCCCUAGGCCUCAGACAGGCCCUGAGCCUCAAGACCCUGGUAUGUGGACUGAUGGGAGGGCAGGCUGGGUGCAGGGACUCUGAAUUUACUCACCCCCUGCCUUUUUCCAGGUGAACUGGCUUUUUAAAUGUGGGGCCUCCCCACUGCCUGGAGGCAAAGCCCUCUUCUACCUGCCUGCCUGCCUUGGCCAGACAGCCUGGCCCUAAUGGGACACAGAGAACUUGGGGCUCCUUGGAAGACUGAUACUGUUUCUGGAAUCUCUGCUUUCUCUGCCCUACCCUGCCUCUGGUGUCUCUAGCAGGAGACCCCACAAAGCACCAGCCCUCCCAGGUCUGCCGGCUCCAGCCCGUAGGAUUGGCCUAAACAAUGUGUGAGAGCCAUGGAGCACCAUCUCAUAAAAAUCACAACAAGGAGGAUAAUUUUCCAGCCUUUUCAGGCCCUGAUUGGUAUCAUUUCUCCAGCAAUGACAGCUUUUAUUUUCCCCGAAAUGAAUGCCGUGAAAUUUCCAAGAAAUGUAAAAAUGGAUAUUGUCUCAGAGAGCCGACUCUUCCGACAGAAAGGCACAGAGGCAAACACGCUUCCCUAGGGACUCUUCUGCUCCAGUCCCGGGGGUGGGGUGGGGGGCAGCCCCCAGGCCCUCAGUCUCUCCUCCCUCCUUUUGCCCUCCCUCAUCCCUUCCUCCUCCCUCCCGGGUCAGCUCUGGGACCCCCCUUCCAGCCACCCUCUCCCAGACUCAGCUGCUAUUGGUCUGCUCAUGGGCCUCCCGACUCCCUGCCGGGCGACCUGCCUGGCUCCACCUCACCUUUUCUUUUCACAUCGCAUCCCCCAGCCCCGGGCUGAGAGCAGCAACCAGGGCCUACAGGAGUUGACUUGGAAUUGGGCCCUCUGACCCCUCAGUCCUGGCCACCCCACACAGACUGCCAAUAAAGAGAAGUCAGAGGCCCACCUCCUUGACUCUCCGGCACCUUCUCUGUAAGGGAAGCUGGCGCUGUAGGGGAGUAGGCACCAGUGGUCUGGCCUGUAGCUUGCUCACUCUUUUGGGGGAUCUCUUCCUACCCCUAAUUACCAAGAUGACCCCAUGACUCAUGAGAAAGAGAAUGACAGGCCACAGUGGUGCCCAGCUAAACCCAGUCAAGCCCUGAGUGAGGCAGCUGGGUGCCCAGCUUCAGGGAGCAGUUGGGUGCUGCCAGAGCUGCCUUGGAGAGAAAAGUCCCGAGGGGGUGCAAGGGGCAGAGAUGAGGGGUUCAGAACCUGACUCUCUGUCUCCUCCUUGACCAAGGGUAGAUCCCAGCAACUCUGCCGAACAGGGCAUCACUUGGUUUGGGUUCUGGACAUAGAGCCCUCCCUGAGGACAGUGUGCUGUCACCAAUAGCUUGCAUCUGUUGCAUGUUCACCAUGUGGGCUGCUAAGUGCCCUGCUCUGAGGUGGGGCUGCCCACCUAACGCCGGGCCUGGUCCUGACCAGAGCCCAUUUGUGGUCAGACCCGCUUCUCUCCUGCGGCCUGCAUGUGGGUGGGGAUGAACCCCUUGCCCUGCCUCGGUGUGCUGCAGCAGGGUGUCAGCUCCAGGACGAGCCCCGCCAGCCUCCACCCUGUCCAACCAGGCCCUACUCCUCCCCUGCAGAUCUGUGGUAUCUUCUGAGCCCUAAAAACACGCCUCCAGCCAGCUUCCUGUCCUCCACCCGGCCUCUCGGGGCUCAUCCCAUCUAUUAUUCACAGCACAAAAUGGAUUUUUAAUUUGAGAAAUGAAAUGACUCUCCCAAGUGGCCGGGGUGGCAGGGAGGGGGUGGAGGAAGGCCGGAGCCGCCGUGGCCGCCACAGCCGCCACGGUGCUGACUCAGGUUCAUCUUGGAAAGCUCGGGGCCCACAGCCGAACUGAGAGACCCCAAAGGCCCAGUACCCCACCACUCUGCCCCAGGCCUCCAGUCCUCCCCAUUGCUGUGACCAGGUGGGGUGACGGGUGCCCGUUGGUCCUGCCUGAGCCUCCAGUGGGGCCUACCUCUGGCAGGGCAGUCGGGGGGACAGCUGGAUCUGUCCUCCACUGGCUUUCAGAUUCCUGUGCCUCAAGGGCAGCCCUUGGGCUCCCUGGCCUGGCCUAUCACCUCCUCACACCCCCCGGCCCUCCUGGCCUGGCUUCCUCCACCCUGUCCAGACCUCUGGCUGAGCUCCUUUGCUAGGUCCUGACCCCACACUAGGCCCACUCCGGCCUCGACUGCUGGCACUGGCCUCCACUGCUGGACACCUGGCCUCCACUCCAGCCUCCACGGCAGAACCUCUCCUCACCCCUCAUGGUGGAGCUCAGGCAUCUUAGUGUGGCCCACAAGGCAGGGCCUCCUCCUGGCUCUUCUCUGUCUUUGUCCCUCUCUGCUUCCCCACCCCCAUACCUCCCUCUUUCCUCUGGUCACUCUGAUCUAUUUCCAUUUCCCAGAACAUGGCUGGCUCUGUCAUCCCUCAGGCCUUAGCACUUGCUGUUUCAGCUGCCUGGAACACCCUUCCUCCCUCCCCUCUUAGAGUGGCCAAUUGCCAACCAUCCUUCAGGGCCACCUGGAAGUGGCCUCUCCCAUCUGGUCAGGUGCUGCCUCCACAGGCCCCUACUCCACCGGAUGCAAAGUCUCUCCUAUGGCAGCCCCUGUUCUUCCCCUCCAGGUAGCCCGCGGCCCCUUCUGGAGCCCAGGACAGGGGACGCAUAUGAUAAACUCAGGUGACGGCCGUGAUCAGUUCAUGGAGAUGCCCUGCGUGAAGUAUCUCUCAGCACCAAGCCAUACACCAGGCACAGCACCCAGGCAAACCUGCCCAGGCUCUCAGAUCCUGAACACCUUUCCUUUGCUCUGGAACCCACCAGAUGACAAAGUGGGGGCCAUUUUCCACCCUCCUACACCCCUCCUCUCCACUCUGAACCCCGUGGUAGGCUUUGUCCUCGCCAUGCAUAGACUCCUCUUGGGGUCACCUCCCAACCUCUGGAGCAAUGUUGUUUCUGCACAAGAAACAUGUAAAUAUUCUCUUGUUUUAAAAUAUUGAAGCCACACAAGUUUGUAGAGGAGAAACAUGAAAGUCCUCGUUCACGCAGCCCCAGCCCUCCCAAGGUAAGGCCAGGUAGGCUCUGCGACCACUGCAGGGGGAGCCUUUAGGCCCACCUGGGUAUCACUUUAUUUUAUCGUUUUUUUUGUUGUUGUUUUAGAGAUGACGUCUCGUUGUGUUUCCCAGAGAGAGUGCAGUGGUGCAAUCAUACCUCCCUGCAGCCUGGAUUUCCUACGCUCAAGUGAUCCUCCCACCUUGGCCUCCAAAGUAGCUGGGACUACAGGUGUUCCUACCAUGCCUGGCCAAUUUUUUUUUAUUGUGUAGAGACUGGAGUCUCGCUAUGUUGCCCAGGCUUGUCUUGAACUCUGGGUGAUCCGCCUACCUCGGCCUCUCAAAGUGCUGGGAUUACAAGUGUGGGCCACUGUGCCCA
ensembl:lincRNA